rnacentral:rRNA from 1 species
GUCUACGGCCAUGCUACCCUGAGCAAGCCUCAUGCCAUCUGAUCUCAGAAGCUAAGUAGGGUCAGGCCUGGUUAGUACUUGGAUAGGAGACCACCUAAGAAGACCAGGUGCUGUAGGUG